UCAGGACGAACGCUGGCGGCGUGCCUAAUACAUGCAAGUCGAACGGUCUUUCUAUGGAAGCUUGCUUCCACUGAGAAGAUAGUGGCGAACGGGUGAGUAACACGUGGGUAACCUGCCCAUAAGAGGGGGAUAACAUCCGGAAACGGGUGCUAAUACCGCAUAGUUUUCUUGAUCGCAUGAUCGGGAAAGGAAAGACGGCCUUUGUGCUGUCGCUUAUGGAUGGACCCGCGGCGUAUUAGUUAGUUGGUGAGGUAACGGCUCACCAAGACGAUGAUACGUAGCCGACCUGAGAGGGCGAUCGGCCACAUUGGGACUGAGACACGGCCCAAACUCCUACGGGAGGCAGCAGUAGGGAGUCUUCCGCAAUGGACGAAAGUCUGACGGAGCAACGCCGCGUGAGUGAAGAAAGGUUUUCGGAUCGUAAAACUCUGUUGUCAGAGAAGAACAAGUUGGAGAGUAACUGCUCCAGCCUUGACGGUAUCUGACCAGAAAGCCACGGCUAACUACGUGCCAGCCGCCGC
rnacentral:rRNA from 1 species